CGCUAUCUACAGGCUUAACACAUGCAAGUCGAGGGGCAUCAGGAAGAAAGCUUGCUUUCUUUGCUGGCGACCGGCGCACGGGUGAGUAACACGUAUCCAACCUGCCCUUUACUCGGGGAUAGCCUUUCGAAAGAAAGAUUAAUACCCGAUGGCAUAAUGAUUCCGCAUGGUUUCAUUAUUAAAGGAUUCCGGUAAAGGAUGGGGAUGCGUUCCAUUAGGUUGUUGGUGAGGUAACGGCUCACCAAGCCUUCGAUGGAUAGGGGUUCUGAGAGGAAGGUCCCCCACAUUGGAACUGAGACACGGUCCAAACUCCUACGGGAGGCAGCAGUGAGGAAUAUUGGUCAAUGGGCGCUAGCCUGAACCAGCCAAGUAGCGUGAAGGAUGAAGGCUCUAUGGGUCGUAAACUUCUUUUAUAUAAGAAUAAAGUGCAGUAUGUAUACUGUUUUGUAUGUAUUAUAUGAAUAAGGAUCGGCUAACUCCGUGCCAGCAGCCGCGGUAAUACGGAGGAUCCGAGCGUUAUCCGGAUUUAUUGGGUUUAAAGGGAGCGUAGGUGGACUGGUAAGUCAGUUGUGAAAGUUUGCGGCUCAACCGUAAAAUUGCAGUUGAUACUGUCAGUCUUGAGUACAGUAGAGGUGGGCGGAAUUCGUGGUGUAGCGGUGAAAUGCUUAGAUAUCACGAAGAACUCCGAUUGCGAAGGCAGCUCACUGGACUGCAACUGACACUGAUGCUCGAAAGUGUGGGUAUCAAACAGGAUUAGAUACCCUGGUAGUCCACACAGUAAACGAUGAAUACUCGCUGUUUGCGAUAUACAGUAAGCGGCCAAGCGAAAGCAUUAAGUAUUCCACCUGGGGAGUACGCCGGCAACGGUGAAACUCAAAGGAAUUGACGGGGGCCCGCACAAGCGGAGGAACAUGUGGUUUAAUUCGAUGAUACGCGAGGAACCUUACCCGGGCUUAAAUUGCAGUGGAAUGAUGUGGAAACAUGUCAGUGAGCAAUCACCGCUGUGAAGGUGCUGCAUGGUUGUCGUCAGCUCGUGCCGUGAGGUGUCGGCUUAAGUGCCAUAACGAGCGCAACCCUUAUCUUUAGUUACUAACAGGUUAUGCUGAGGACUCUAGAGAGACUGCCGUCGUAAGAUGUGAGGAAGGUGGGGAUGACGUCAAAUCAGCACGGCCCUUACGUCCGGGGCUACACACGUGUUACAAUGGGGGGUACAGAAGGCAGCUAGCGGGUGACCGUAUGCUAAUCCCAAAAGCCUCUCUCAGUUCGGAUCGAAGUCUGCAACCCGACUUCGUGAAGCUGGAUUCGCUAGUAAUCGCGCAUCAGCCACGGCGCGGUGAAUACGUUCCCGGGCCUUGUACACACCGCCCGUCAAGCCAUGGGAGCCGGGGGUACCUGAAGUACGUAACCGCAAGGAUCGCCCUAGGGUAAAACUGGUGACUGGGGC
rnacentral:rRNA from 1 species